UCAGUGAAUCCUUAGAGCUGUUGCUGCUGC
rnacentral:piRNA from 1 species